rnacentral:rRNA from 1 species
AUUGAACGCUGGCGGAAUGCUUUACACAUGCAAGUCGAACGGCAGCACGGACUUCGGUCUGGUGGCGAGUGGCGAACGGGUGAGUAAUACAUCGGAACGUGCCCAAUCGUGGGGGAUAACGUAGCGAAAGCUACGCUAAUACCGCAUACGAUCUAAGGAUGAAAGCGGGGGAUCGCAAGACCUCGCGCGAUUGAAGCGGCCGAUGGCAGAUUAGGUAGUUGGUAGGGUAAAGGCCUACCAAGCCGACGAUCUGUAGCUGGUCUGAGAGGAUGAUAAGCCACACUGGGACUGAGACACGGCCCAGACUCCUACGGGAGGCAGCAGUGGGGAAUUUUGGACAAUGGACGAAAGUCUGAUCCAGCCAUUCCGCGUGCAGGAUGAAGGCCCUCGGGUUGUAAACUGCUUUUGUACAGAACGAAAAGGCUCUGGUUAAUACCUAGGGCUCAUGACGGUACUGUAAGAAUAAGCACCGGCUAACUACGUGCCAGCAGCCGCCGUAA